rnacentral:lncRNA from 1 species
UGACGCAUAUAGAAACCAUGAAUUCUUCAAAGCUGGCUGGCCAUGCAGUGCCCAAAAGUAUGCUCAAUCCCAAGCUAGGCGGGAUCGGCCAUAUGAAUCGUCAUUAUCAAUAUGGAUUGUCUCAAUCCAAUGUUCAAUAAUUUAGGUUCUCUAAUAAUAAUAAGACUGGACCAAAUAUAGUAUACUCUCCAAUAAUUACAAAGACAGUGAUUUUAUAAAUUAUUAACUUGCUCUCUAGCAGACCAACUUUAAUUGAAAGGCGAGAAGGAAAAAAUAAUAAUUUUAGAUUUAAUGGGCAUGUUGAACACAAUUGAUAUCAGAUACGAAGGGAUUAAGAAAUAUUUGUGCCUUAUGCUUUUUUUCAUUUUCAAUCAACAAAAAUGUUCAUAAAUUUGAAUUACCAGUACAGUAAUAUUCAAAAGGUACAUUAGCACAGAAUCGAUAAAUCAUUACCAUCAUUCAAUGAAUUAAAGACGGGAUAAGGGUUUCAAAGGAAUGUAGAGGGAUAGAUAGAAAGGGAACUUACAGCUAAUUAUGUUCUCUGUUGUUUGAAGUUUGAGGCAGGUAAAAGCUUUCGGGUCAAUCCAUUCAGAAUUUUCCUGUCUAGCUAUGGCAAUAAAGCUACU